CAGAUGUUGAAGGGAAUUUAGACAGGGAGAGAGAAGUUUAUAAUUAUGGUGUUCAGCAUCGAAGAAGGAUGCAACGUUCAAGGGGAAGCCCUCAAGUAGCAAAUAGAGAACCUCGCUUCAGGUCUCGUGCUCAAGAUAACGAAGGAUUACAAGGGAAACCUGAAGUCUCAUCUGUGGUUUAUAAAGUUGGUGAGUGCAUGCAAGAACUAAUAAAGUUGUGGAAGGAACAUGAAUCGUCACAGAUGGAUAAAAGUGGUGAAAGCUUGCAGAAUAUCCCCACUCUAGAAAUUCGAAUACCAGCUGAACACGUUAUUGCUACAAAUAG
rnacentral:misc_RNA from 1 species